ensembl:snoRNA
UGUCCUGUUUUUAGUACCACCCUCCUGCUCCUGAUCAGGGUGUGUGGCUAUGCUAACAGGAUAGAGGAAAUCUGUCGGAGUCUGAAGGGUCUGCAGUCCCACCUGCAGCCUCUAUAUGAACUGAUAGUACAGUUGGAA